rnacentral:lncRNA from 1 species
AUAAAAUCCUAAUUUCUGGUAUUUCUGCUCUUCUCUUCUCUUUUCGAAGUGAAUUAUGAUAUUUUGUUGUUUGUUGUAUUUUUUGAAGUUUGAUUUUUAUUGUUUGUGUUUAUAAAAAUAAAAGGACAAUUUGGUUUGAUUUGUUCUGUUCUUGUUCUUGGUAAAAAUAGUGAAAUUAUUGUUGUUUGUUUAACAAAAUCGUGCUACU